ACGCUCGACACAUGGAACAGCUUGAUGAUAAAUUUUUAAUUCAGUAAUAUUAUUACACAUUAUUUCAGACUUUUAGGCUCUAUCCUUGACCCUUCUGGUCCUUUUGGUCUCUUUUUUCUUUGUCAUUUUUUUGGCGCCAUGUUUAUUUACCUGGUGACCCGUUGCGGCCCCCUUACCUCCGCAAUCAUAUUUGGUACAUAUUCUCUCGUUGUUUUUACAGUGGCAGGUGUUGCAGUCAACAUGCGUAAUCUCUCCUUCUUUACAAUCAUCCAAUUCACGUCGAAGACGAGUAGCGCAAAAUGAUGGCUUACAAGACGCAACUCGGUUCUCCAAACAUACGCAACUCAUGCAUUCUGCCGCCCACGCGUCACCCACCACACAUGCGCCACAGAAAUGCAUGGUAUGUGGGUCAAGAUGUUUUCGUAACUCGGAAAUUCUUCCAUGAAGGUCGUUUUUAUAUAAAAAGUGAUAAUAAUCGCUUAAACAUGAGGAAAAAUCUGAUUCGAAAUACCGUAAUUUUCAUGUUUCCAAAUUUGGAUACCACUUUGGGGAUAUGCUUUUUGCGCGUUUUCAUAGAAACAACAUUCCUGUUGCCAUAGAACGAUCCAGAUGAUCGCGGCGGGUAAAGGAAAUGGAAGUAACCUCAGAGCGGAUAUCAAAAACCAGGUGCUGGGGUAACGAGGGAUUGCGGCUUUCCUCGAGAAUCGGGAAUUAGGAUUGGAAGGGGGAAGCAAAAGAGGCAGAGCAAUUUCCCCUUAAUAUCCUUUUGAGGAAGGGAUUCUAUAUCUGUAGAUCACAACUAGGCCAUAUCCCUCUAUAUGUCAAGGUAGCAGCGCGUAUAAUAUUCAUCAUUUCGGUCCAUUAAUUGCAGCGUGGAGUUAUAUAGAACUUAGUCAAUAACCCUUCAAACUCUGCGGUAGACGUUCUACGCGUUCUUACCGCUUGCACCGCAUACCCUUCAAAGCCCGAGUUCAAAUACACGACAACCAAAGGAAAUAUUUUAAGUUGCCCGAAGUUUGACUCGAGUAGAAAAAAAAAGGUUUCACGACCACUCCAUGGUGGUUGAAAUUUUGAAAAAAAGUCCAUUUCCCGGGAUGUAAAAAUUGCACAGAUGCAAAUAAAAUUCAAACAAAUGGACGCCACAGACUGCAGAAAAGAAAACGUUCGGCUCAAC
rnacentral:misc_RNA from 1 species